UGACUUUGGCAGUACAUACACUAAAAUUGGAAUGGUACAGAGAAGAUUAGCAUGGACCCUGUGCAAGAAUGACAUGCAACUUUGUGAAGCACCUCAUAUUUUU